rnacentral:rRNA from 1 species
GACGUAGGGCGCGAGCGUUGUCCGGAUUUAUUGGGCGUAAAGAGCUCGUAGGCGGCUUGUCGCGUCGACUGUGAAAACCCGCGGCUCAACUGCGGGCCUGCAGCCGAUACGGGCAGGCUAGAGUUCGGUAGGGGAGACUGGAAUUCCUGGUGUAGCGGUGAAAUGCGCAGAUAUCAGGAGGAACACCGGUGGCGAAGGCGGCAUCCUGGACCAAUUCUGACGCUGAGUGAGCGAAAGCCAGGGGAGCAAACGGG